GACGAACGCUGGCGGCGUGCUUAACACAUGCAAGUCGAGCGGUAAGGCCCUUUCGGGGGUACACGAGCGGCGAACGGGUGAGUAACACGUGGGUGACCUGCCCUCAGCUCUGGGAUAAGCCUGGGAAACCGGGUCUAAUACUGGAUAUGACUCCAUGACGCAUGUUGUGGGGUGGAAAGCCUUGUGCGGCUGAGGAUGGGCCCGCGGCCUAUCAGCUUGUUGGUGGGGUGAGGCCUACCAAGGCGACGACGGGUAGCCGGCCUGAGAGGGCGACCGGCCACACUGGGACUGAGACACGGGCCCAGACUCCUACGGGAGGCAGCAGUGGGGAUCUUGCGCAAUGGGCGAAAACCUGACGCAGCGACGCCGCGUGAGGGAUGACGGCCUGG
rnacentral:rRNA from 1 species